rnacentral:rRNA from 2 species
GAGCGGCGAACGGGUGAGUAACACGUGAGUAACCUGCCCCUGACUCUGGGAUAAGCCUGGGAAACUGGGUCUAAUACCGGAUAUGACCAUUUCGGGCAUCCGAUGGUGGUGGAAAGUUUUUUCGGUUGGGGAUGGACUCGCGGCCUAUCAGCUUGUUGGUGGGGUAGUGGCCUACCAAGGCGACGACGGGUAGCCGGCCUGAGAGGGCGACCGGCCACACUGGGACUGAGACACGGCCCAGACUCCUACGGGAGGCAGCAGUGGGGAAUAUUGCGCAAUGGGCGGAAGCCUGACGCAGCGACGCCGCGUGGGGGAUGACGGCCUUCGGGUUGUAAACCUCUUUCAGCAGGGACGAAGUUGACGUGUACCUGUAGAAGAAGCGCCGGCUAACUACGUGCCAGCAGCCGCGGUAAUACGUAGGGCGCAAGCGUUGUCCGGAAUUAUUGGGCGUAAAGAGCUCGUAGGUGGCUUGUCGCGUCUGCCGUGAAAGCUUAGGGCUUAACCCUANGUCUGCGGUGGAUACGGGCAGGCUAGAGGCUGGUAGGGGCAAGCGGAAUUCCU